rnacentral:misc_RNA from 1 species
GUGAAUCAUCGAAUUUUUGAACGCAAAUUGCACUCUCUUCGGAGAGUAUGCCUGUUUGAGGGUCAGUAUGAAUAAAAAUCGGCGUGUUGCUCUUUUGUGACGUUCCGGAGUUUGGGUCAUCUUAUAACAACACCCGUUCAGGGUAUUUUUAAGAGGCUUAAAAUUGACCUUUUUUGUGCAUUUUAGACGUACAUAAAUUUUUUUUUUAUCCGUCCGGAGUUUGCCAAAUCUUUAUUAGGUAUGACCAUGAUCGUUUGUGGCAUUUGUACCUAUAAUUUUAACUCAUAUUUUGACCUCAAAU